rnacentral:rRNA from 1 species
GUAGUGGCGAGCGAACGGGGAAUAGCCCAAACCAACAGUGUUACGGCAUUGUUGGGGUUGUAGGACCACGACGUUGCAAGAAAUCUUGUGAGAAGAACGGUCUGGAAAGACCGGCCACAGCGGGUGACAGCCCCGUAUUCGAAGCGAGACGAAGCAUAGUGUAAUCCUGAGUAGCGCGGGACACGAGGAAUCCUGCGUGAAUCCGCCGGGACCAUCCGG